GUCAAUAUGGUAUAGUGGUAUGAGUUUGGACUACAACUCUGGAAACCAGGGUUCGAAUCCCUGCUCAGCCA